GCGGGCACCUUGACGUCAAUUUGACAUCAACAAAUAGUCAAGAUUUUGACCACCAUGUAUGACGUGCAUGAAUAUGCAUAUUUUCAUUAUAUUUUGUAAUUAUUUCCUUGUGGUUGUAAAGAGGCCCAACAAAGGUAUCAAACUGACAUGUUUUUUGUGGUCUCUAUAUCUCAGGUCAAUAUCAUUGACAUUAAAUUGAUGUUGAUUUGAUGUCAGGAAAUAAGAUGUCAAAUUGACGUUAAAUUUAUGUCAAAACAAUGUCUGAAAAAGUAUAUUUAUUAUUCAUUGUAAAUCAAUGCGACUCAUGUUUAACAUCUUGAAAGUUGUAAUGGGGAGAGUUAAAAAUGUAAUAAACACGUGCAAAUAAACUAUUAUUGUUUUUUAUUAUUAUUAUAUUUUCAUCACAGUGUCUAAAAUAUAACAUUUUAAAUAUAAAUUUGAAAAAUACCAUUAAUAAUAAAAUAACAUCAAGACGUUUAUAUGUUUCAUUCAUACAAGUCAGUUUGGAAUGUUUGAUCCUGACAAAAAAGAAGCGAGGUAAUCUCGCGAGAUUACACGAUACUGGAGAGUUUAACGGCUGUCUGCGUGAUCAUCGAGAAGUGCAUCGAGAGCCCUUCAAAUUAAACAUAGUGAUGGUGAUCUUGUCAAUGCUGAGAUUUUAAUGCAUCAACAGCCAUUACAUCUGUCUGGAUCAGGAUUGAACAAGAAACAGACAGCAAGGGUUGUCAGGUCAGAAACGUGAUGACACACAAACAUAUGAAACUUCACAGGCGGCAAUUUCUUUUUCCACCGGUGGGUGCUCAUCACAACCUCCAGCUUUACUGGACACCAGGUGCUCUGGAGCGCUCAAAAGCUUUGAAGAGGUGGAAAGCAGUGCAGUCAUGUUUUCGUGUGAUUUUAGAUGCGAAUUGUAAAGUUAAAGGCAGACCACCAUGCAACUUGGUGAAGUCAUGUGUCUUUCCAGAUGCCAAAAUCUGUACCCCUCAAAAAGA